UAGAUUUAGAGGAUCUAAGGACUGUGCUGGGAGGAUAUAACACAGAGGAGGUUCUUCUCAUUAACUGCAAUUAAAGGCUGGUGUGGAGUUUUGUAACAAAAGGAUUCCUGUGUGCACUGGAAUAUAUCAGCCGAAAAUGAGGAACUGUUGAGCACCGUCAGGUAAUUUUGGAUCCGUACUGUGCGUGGAUGCCUCCGACCCUCGCUGGAUGAUUCCAUCUCUGUGAUGAAAGGCUUAUCCAGCAGCCGCAGCCACCACCACGUGGUGACCUGUGACCC